rnacentral:rRNA from 1 species
UGCAGAGGUCCCAAGCGUUGUUCGGAUUCAUUGGGCGUAAAGGGUGCGUAGGUGGCGCGCUAAGUCGGGUGUGAAAUUUCGGAGCUUAACUCCGAAACUGCAUUCGAUACUGGUGUGCUUGAGGACUGGAGAGGAGACUGGAAUUUACGGUGUAGCGGUGAAAUGCGUAGAUAUCGUAAGGAAGACCAGUGGCGAAGGCGGGUCUCUGGACAGUUCCUGACGCUGAGGCACGAAGGUCAGGGGAGCAAACGGG